rnacentral:rRNA from 1 species
CAGUAGCCACGGUAAUACAGAGGGUGCGAGCGUUAAUCGGAUUUACUGGGCGUAAAGCGUGCGUAGGCGGCUUCUUAGGUCGGAUGUGAAAUCCCUGAGCUUAACUUAGGAAUUGCAUUCGAUACUGGGAAGCUAGAGUAUGGGAGAGGAUGGUAGAAUUCCAGGUGUAGCGGUGAAAUGCGUAGAGAUCUGGAGGAAUACCGAUGGCGAAGGCAGCCAUCUGGCCUAAUACUGACGCUGAGGUACGAAAGCAUGGGGAGCAAACAGGAUUAGAUACCCUGGUAGUCCCUGUCUCUUAUAC